AUUGAACGCUGGCGGCAUGCUUUACACAUGCAAGUCGAACGGUAACAGGGUGCUUGCACCGCUGACGAGUGGCGAACGGGUGAGUAAUGCGUCGGAACGUGCCGAGUAGUGGGGGAUAACGCAGCGAAAGUUGUGCUAAUACCGCAUACGUACUGAGGUAGAAAGUGGGGGACCUUCGGGCCUCACGCUAUUCGAGCGGCCGACGUCUGAUUAGCUAGUAGGUGAGGUAAAGGCGCACCUAGGCGACGAUCAGUAGCGGGGCUGAGAGGAUGAUCCGCCACACUGGGACUGAGACACGGCCCAGACUCCUACGGGAGGCAGCAGUGGGGAAUUUUGGACAAUGGGCGAAAGCCUGAUCCAGCCAUGCCGCGUGUCUGAAGAAGGCCUUCGGGUUGUAAAGGACUUUUGUCAGGGAGGAAAUCCCUAGUGCUAAUAACACUGGGGGAUGACAGUACCUGAAGAAUAAGCACCGGCUAACUACGUGCCAGCAGCCGCCGUAAUAC
rnacentral:rRNA from 1 species